AUAAUACUCCCUCCGUCCCAAAAUUCUUGUCUUACAUUUGUCUAGAUACGGAUGUAUCUAACACUAAAAUGUAACUAGAUACAUCCGUAUUUAGACAAAUCUAAGACAAGAAUUUUGGGACGGAUGGAGUAGUAA
rnacentral:pre_miRNA from 1 species